GUGAUGCUUUGCAGACAGCAGAGAGGUCAAAAGAAAGAUUACUCCAGUUAAAAAAGACACACUGCCCACCAUGCCUGUUUUUUGGGGGCAUUUUUCUUA